rnacentral:rRNA from 1 species
AACGCGAAGAACCUUACCCAGGUUAGAAGUGCAGGGGAAGUUAACAGAGAUGAUAACGUCCGAAAGGACCGCUGCAUAGGUGCUGCAUGGCUGUCGUCAGCUCGUGCCGUGAGGUGUUGGGUUAAGUCCCGCAACGAGCGCAACCCUUAUCAUUAGUUGCCAACACGUAAGGUGGGGACUCUAGUGAGACUGCCUAGGUUAACUAGGAGGAAGGUGAGGAUGACGUCAAGUCAGCAUGGCCCUUAUGUCUGGGGCUACACACGUGCUACAAUGGUCGGUACAGAAGGCAGCGAAACUGUGAAGUGGAGCAAAUCCCCAAAGCCGAUCUCAGUUCAGAUUGUAGUCUGCAACUCGACUACAUGAAGCUGGAAUUGCUAGUAAUGACGUGUCAGCAACAACGUCGUGAAUACGUUCCCGGGCCUUGUA